GGACAGCCAUCGCCGAGUCCCCGCAGGCGCGAGCCGGGGGAGCCGGGGACCCACAUGUUCCCUGGGGUGAAUCGGGCGUCCGUGCGCGAGCGCGGGGCCCGUAGGAGACCUUCCUGCUCCGAACCCGUCAGCUAACCCGGUAGGCGAGAGGGAAGGAAAGG
rnacentral:sRNA from 1 species